CAGCAGCCGCGGGAAUACGUAGGUGGCAAGCGUUGUCCGGAAUUAUUGGGCGCAAAGCGCGCGCAGGCGGUUUCUUAAGUCUGAUGUGAAAGCCCCCGGCUUAACCGGGGAGGGUCAUUGGAAACUGGGAGACUUAGAGUGCAGAAGAGGAGAGUGGAAUUCCAUGUGUAGCGGUGAAAUGCGUAGAUAUAUGGAGGAACACCAGUGGCGAAGGCGACUCUCUGGUCUGUAACUGACGCUGAGGCGCGAAAGCGUGGGGAGCAAACAGGAUUAGAUACCCGGGUAGUCCCUGUCUCUUAUA
rnacentral:rRNA from 1 species